GUGACCCGCCCCUCACAGACGCUUUCCCCUUGAACCUGUGAAUGUGACCUUAUAUGGAAAGAUGUCUUUGUAGAUGUAAGUAGGUUACGAAUCUCAAGAUGAGAUCUUUCUGGAUUAACCAGGUGGAUCCUAAAUCACGACUAGUGUCCUUACAGAAGACAGAAGAGAAGACACACAGGUUGGGGGGCGCAUGAAGACAGAGGCAGAGAUUGGAGUGAUGCGGUUAACCCCAGGCCAACGAACACUGGCAGCCCCCAGCUGCUGGAAGAGGCAGGAAGGGGCCUCUCCUAGAGCUUUCGAAGGGGUAUGGCCCUGCCAGCACCUUGAUUCAGACUUCUGCCCUCUAGAUGGUGAGAGGAUAACUUUCCACUUCUUGAAGCCAUUCCGUUUGUGGUAUUUUGGUUCAGCAACUCUUGGAGACCAACCACCCCCAGAGGUACCAGCUCCCAGCUGAGGCUACAGCAGGUGGACGUCCCCCCCGGGUGGAGCAACUCCCUGCCUGGGCAGAGGAGCUCAGCGCUUGUCCCACGUCAGAAGCCCGUUUGUGACUCUGGGGUGCAGUCUUCUCGACCAUCUCAAGCUUCCAGCCUGGAGCCUGCAAAGGGCCCCAGAAUUUCAGAGCAAACCCAAGCAUCUUCUCUCUGCCUGGGAGGGGCUCCUUCUGGGGGUGAGUACCACUGUGUACCAGAAAGCAUUCAGGGCGUUUACAGGACCCCGUGACUUUGAACUCCCUAUUUCCCAGCUCCAUCUGUGCUGUGAAGCUGUGAGACCAACACACCAACCAGCGCCAACAAUUGUGCUGUGCCAAGUGCCCAAUGAUGCCUCUCUCAUUUCAUUCUCUUUACUGCAGCCCCAUAGGCAGUUGCUGUCAUGAUGCUCAUUGCACAAAUGAAGAAACUGAGGCUCGGGGAGGUGAAGGCACCCCUCAGAGUAUUUCACAGCUGGCAGGUGGAGGCCUCAGAUUCAAAUCUAUGUUGGCUGUGAUCAUUACCCACACACGGAGGCUUCACGAAGUUUGUGUUAAUGUAUGAAGCUUUUGUAUGUCAUGCCCACGUGGUUCUCUCCAGGGUUUGAUGCCCAAAAGGCACUGAGUGAUGACUUGCCAGUGACAAUUCAGUGAGUGGC
rnacentral:lncRNA from 1 species